rnacentral:rRNA from 1 species
AUGAACGCUGGCGGCGUGCCUAAUUCAUGCAAGUCGAGCGAACAGACGAGGAGCUUGCUCCUCUGACGUUAGCGGCGGACGGGUGAGUAACACGUGGAUAACCUACCUAUAAGACUGGGAUAACUUCGGGAAACCGGAGCUAAUACCGGAUAAUAUAUUGAACCGCAUGGUUCAAUAGUGAAAGACGGUUUUGCUGUCACUUAUAGAUGGAUCCGCGCCGCAUUAGCUAGUUGGUAAGGUAACGGCUUACCAAGGCAACGAUGCGUAGCCGACCUGAGAGGGUGAUCGGCCACACUGGAACUGAGACACGGUCCAGACUCCUACGGGAGGCAGCAGUAGGGAAUCUUCCGCAAUGGGCGAAAGCCUGACGGAGCAACGCCGCGUGAGUGAUGAAGGUCUUCGGAUCGUAAAACUCUGUUAUUAGGGAAGAACAAAUGUGUAAGUAACUAUGCACGUCUUGACGGUACCUAAUCAGAAAGCCACGGCUAACUACGUG